GUGGGGAAUCUUAGACAAUGGGGGCAACCCUGAUCUAGCCAUGCCGCGUGAGCGAUGAAGGCCUUAGGGUUGUAAAGCUCUUUCAGAUGGGAAGAUAAUGACGGUACCAUCAGAAGAAGCCCCGGCUAACUCCGUGCCAGCAGCCGCGGUAAUACGGAGGGGGCUAGCGUUGUUCGGAAUUACUGGGCGUAAAGCGCACGUAGGCGGACCAGAAAGUCAGAGGUGAAAUCCCAGGGCUCAACCUUGGAACUGCCUUUGAAACUCCUGGUCUUGAGGUCGAGAGAGGUGAGUGGAAUUCUGAGUGUAGAGGUGAAAUUCGUAGAUAUUCGGAGGAACACCAGUGGCGAAGGCGGCUCACUGGCUCGAUACUGACGCUGAGGUGCGAAAGCGUGGGGAGCAAACAGGAUUAGAUACCCGGGUAGUCC
rnacentral:rRNA from 1 species